UACGUAGGGGGCAAGCGUUGUCCGGAUUUAUUGGGCGUAAAGAGCGUGUAGGCGGCUUGGUAGGUCUGCUGUGAAAACUCGAGGCUCAACCUCGAGCUGUCGGCGGAAACCACUUGGCUAGAGUCCGGAAGAGGAGAGUGGAAUUCCUGGUGUAGCGGUGAAAUGCGCAGAUAUCAGGAGGAACACCUGUGGCGAAAGCGGCUCACUGGACCACAACUGACGCUGAGGCGCGAAAGCUAGGGGAGCAAACAGG
rnacentral:rRNA from 1 species